rnacentral:misc_RNA from 1 species
AAGUCGUAACAAGGUUUCCGUAGGUGAACCUGCGGAAGGAUCAUUACCAUACAGGUCUUUGACCUUUUCACCCCUUGUGCACUGUUUAACUGUCUUGCGAGAUGUUGGCAACGUCAAAAAUUGCCAUGUCUCGCGUUUAUUAUAAACAACUUGUGAAUGUUUUGGUGUAUUUUAUUCAAACAAAAAGACAACUUUUAACGGUGGAUCUCUUGGCUCGU